UACGGCCAUAUCACCUUAUAACGCCAGUUCUCCUCCGAUCACUGAAGUUAAGCAACGUUUAUCCUGGUUAGCAUUUAGAUGGGUAACCAUUCGGGAAUACCAGAUGCAGUAA